rnacentral:antisense_RNA from 1 species
GUUACUUAGCAACAGAUAACUGGAAUAGUGCUCUUGAAACAGGGUCUCGCCAUGUUGCCCAGGCUGGUCUCAAACUCCUGGACUCAAGCAAUCCUCCCACCUCAGCCUCCCAAAGUGCUGGGAUUACAGGCAUGAGUCACCACACCCAGCCCAGUACCUGCUUUUAAGGAGCUCAUACCAACCAGAGUUCAAGCAAAAAAAAAAAAAAAAAAAAAGCUCUUCUACAGGUCUACUUAAACUUUGAAAGAUGAGAUUGUUCAAAAAUGACACGAGAAAAUCACCCAUCACCACUAAGUUAAAGACUUGAAUAUGUGAGAGUUCCAGAGCCUCAAACUCCUACUACAGUCACUGAUCCAUAACAUUUUCCUCUUGCAAUGGACUCCACGCCAAAGUAGCUCAGUCUUGC